rnacentral:rRNA from 1 species
GAUCCUGGCUCAGGAUGAACGCUAGCUACAGGCUUAACACAUGCAAGUCGAGGGGCAUCAGUUUGGUUUGCUUGCAAACCAAAGCUGGCGACCGGCGCACGGGUGAGUAACACGUAUCCAACCUGCCUCAUACUCGGGGAUAGCCUUUCGAAAGAAAGAUUAAUACCCGAUAGUAUAGUAUUUCCGCAUGGUUUCACUAUUAAAGAACUUCGGUUAUCGAUGGGGAUGCGUUCCAUUAGAUAGUUGGG